GUGUGCUCCACGGACGACAUGUGCCGCAGCCCGAAGCCCUCAGGCCAGCUCCCACACACUUCCAGCAGGGUCACGCUCCGGUCAAAGGGUUGAAGUUUGUUGCAAACCUCCUAUGGAAAGGUUCUAGCCACCAGAGAGAAAAGCCACACACCAAACGCAGAAUCUGGAAUAAACAAUGCUCCUCGAGACAUGAGCCCUUCCAGGUUGGUUCCCAAAAGAACUCCAUUCACAUGCUGCACAACAAUGUUUUGGUCUACAUAGAAGAUGGUGGUCCACAGGCUGUGGUGGUGGCGCAUGCCUUUAAUCCCAACACUCGGGAGGCAGAGCCAGGUGGAUAUCUGUGAGUU